rnacentral:rRNA from 1 species
GGCGACGGGUUGAGUAACACGUGAGAAUUUGCCUUUAGGAGGGGGAUAACAAUUGGAAACGAAUGCUAAUACCCCAUAUGCUUUCGAGUGAAAUGGAUUUAUAUUUAUCCGCCUAGAGAGAAGCUCGCGGCUGAUUAGCUUGUUGGUAAGGUAAGAGCUUACCAAGGCGACGAUCAGUAUCUGGUUUGAGAGGACGAUCAGACACACUGGAACUGAGACACGGUCCAGACUCCUACGGGAGGCAGCAGUGGGGAAUUUUCCGCAAUGGGCGAAAGCCUGACGGAGCAAUACCGCGUGAGGGAAGACUGCCUAUGGGUUGUAAACCUCUUUUUUCAGGGAGGAAUAAAAUGACGUGUACCUGAAGAAUAAGCAUCGGCUAACUCCGUGCCAGCAGCCGCGGUAAGACGGAGGAUGCAAGUGUUAUCCGGAAUCACUGGGCGUAAAGCGUCU